CCUACGGGAGGCUGCAGUGAGGAAUAUUGGUCAAUGGACGAGAGUCUGAACCAGCCAAGUAGCGUGAAGGAUGACUGCCCUAUGUGUUGUAAACUUCUUUUAUAUGGGAAUAAACUGUUCCACGUGUGGGAUUUUGUAUGUCCCAUAUGAAUAAGGAUCGGCUAACUCCGUGCCAGCAGCCGCGGUAAUACGGAGGAUCCGAGCGUUAUCCGGAUUUAUUGGGUUUAAAGGGAGCGUAGGUGGAUUGUUAAGUCAGUUGUGAAAGUUUGCGGCUCAACCGUAAAAUUGCAGUUGAAACUGGCAGUCUUGAGUACAGUAGAGGUGGGCGGAAUUCGUGGUGUAGCGGUGAAAUGCUUAGAUAUCACGAAGAACUCCGAUUGCGAAGGCAGUUCACUGGACUGCAACUGACACUGAGGCUCGAAAGUGUGGGUAUCAAACAGGAUUAGAUACCCCUGUAGUC
rnacentral:rRNA from 1 species